UUCAGGGAUAGCCGCCUGAAGCCUUUGGAGCGCAGCGGGACCUUGCACUGCGCUCCAAAGGCUUUGGGUUCCUUUUAUGAGAGCCGGGAGACCUGGCUUCAGGGAUAGCCGCCUGAAGCCUUUGGAGUGCAGCGGGACCUCGCGCUGCGCUCCAAAGGCUUCAGGCAGCUAUCCCUGAA